rnacentral:rRNA from 1 species
UGGGGAAUUUUCCGCAAUGGGCGCAAGCCUGACGGAGCAAUACCGCGUGAGGGAGGAAGGCUUUUGGGUUGUAAACCUCUUUUAUUAAGGAAGAAGAAAGUGACGGUACUUAAAGAAUCAGCAUCGGCUAACUCCGUGCCAGCAGCCGCGGUAAUACGGAGGGGGCAAGCGUUGUUCGGAUUUACUGGGCGUAAAGGGCGCGUAGGCGGACGGUCAAGUCAGAGGUGAAAGGCCCGGGCUCAACCUGGGACGUGCCUUUGAAACUGAUUGUCUUGAGUGCGGAAGAGGGUGACGGAAUUCCCAGUGUAGAGGUGAAAUUCGUAGAUAUUGGGAAGAACACCGGUGGCGAAGGCGGUCACCUGGUCCGCAACUGACGCUGAGGCGCGAGAGCGUGGGGAGCAAACAGGAUUAGAUACCCCUGUAGUCC